rnacentral:lncRNA from 1 species
GCUCAGUUUUAUAAAAGUUAUAAAUCAGUUGGUCCAUGGACUUAGUAUAAACAGGUAGAUGAUCACAAAAGCACUGGUCCCACAUAGUGCCUGUAUUUAAUUACAGCAUUAGGGACUUGACUGAUUCCCAGGUAGAUGAGAGCCUGAUGCUUCCCCAUAGGUCCCAGCCAUACCCUCUCUUGCCUCCUUUCCCACCCCACUGGGUGCUCUGUACUAUACCAGAUGGUAGCUUCCAGAAAGUAACUAGCUUUUGCCUUCCACGCUGAAGAUGUUUCCUUUACUACUACAUUAAAAAUACAGCUUGCAUUUUAUAGCUUCAUUUCCUUCUAGGGAUUUCAAAUUUUUAAGUAAUUAAAAGCUAGGGAGUCAUAUACAAACCUCAGAGUGCUGUACAGCCACUAUUAGAUAUUAUAGUGACAUUGUUUAGCAGAAAAUAAAUUACCAAUAUGAUUAGAGUGGGAGAGACAUCAACACUGAGAAAACUAUCAAAAACACAAAAGAUGGCCACAUAGCUGGACAAGAUCUAUACUUUAAAUAUCUCAGAGUACAUUGUGCAUCUCUAUCCCAAUUCCAAAGGAGAAUUUUUUAUACCACAUUUCUCAAACGGACCAUGGGGAAGGGAAAUACUACCAUGGAUCAUGUCUGGGUUUGAGGAAGGAGAAACACACUGCCAUGGUGACACUGCAACUGGAAUGAGAGAUGUGUCCAGGAGGAAGUGUUUCAAGCAGCACCAAGAGCAAGGUUCCACACUUUUCUGCAGUUUGGAGUAAUCCCUGAUAUAACUUAGACAAAUGAUGGCAGCUCUUUGAGAUGCUGUGAUCUAUCACAGUUGCGUGCAAUCUCCGUGGGGUUCAGCAUCGUGACUCCGCUCGGAUGAAGCAACUCCACCCUGUUCUGCUCUGAUAAGUUCUCUGCCAUAUCCUCAAGCUCUUCAGAAGAAUCAUUUCUUGGAUGGAAAUGAGACUUCUGGGAAUCCUUUGCACCGCUUUGGCUCCUUACCUGGGAUGAAGGGUGUGACUCACUCAGGAACAAUACAGACAUUUUCCCUGUGGUUCAAAACUAUGUUUGGAGUUCUGUAUCUGUAAGGAAACAGUUACAAACUCACUAGAUUCUUCAUUUGUUUUCAUUUUCAGGUUUAGAUCUUUGUUCUACUUUACUUAAUUUGCCUGAACCAUGACCAAGAAAGGUCAUUAAAGAAAAAUUAAGUAACUUCUGUAAUUUAAUAUUAAUCAACCGAGUAUGAGCUCUCCAGUAAAGGAACCUACUGACUAGUUAUUAAUAUUCCAAAGGCCAUGGGGAAGGAGGAGUUGUUUUACAAUUUCAUUUUAUAUUCUAUUUUGUUGGCAAAAAAACACUUUGCAAUGUUUGCCAAAAACUAGUCUUUGGAGAGCAGAAUUGAGGUGCCUA